rnacentral:rRNA from 1 species
UACGGAGGGUGCAAGCGUUAUCCGGAUUCACUGGGUUUAAAGGGUGCGUAGGCGGACAUGUAAGUCCGUGGUGAAAUCUCUAAGCUUAACUUGGAAACUGCCAUGGAUACUAUAUGUCUUGAAUGUUGUGGAGGUUAGCGGAAUAUGUCAUGUAGCGGUGAAAUGCAUAGAUAUGACAUAGAACACCAAUUGCGUAGGCAGCUGGCUACACAAAUAUUGACGCUGAGGCACGAAAGCGUGGGGAUCAAACAGG